AGCCAGCUCGACAGCGGAUGAUCCGCCAGGAAGGGCAUGGCCCGCAAUUGCUACGGGCGCUGCGCGGUCUUCUUGGGGGCCGCGCUGGUGCUGGACGCGGCUGGGCUGGCCUUGCUGUUGGCGGGCGGCGUGGGGAACCCGUCCAGAGACGGGCACUCUCUUCGGGAUUUCUUAAUGCUGACCGGGGGGAUCCUCAUCUUCCUGUCGCUGCUCUGCUGGCUGUUCUGGUAUUCGGGGAACCUGCGCGGGGUGCCGGCCGAAGAACUGCCGCUCGGGACGCGCGCGAGCUCCCCCGCGACCCGCAGCCGCGCCAGCUUCCUGCGCUUAGCGGCCAAGCUGUCCGAGCGCCUCUCCCAGCGCCACCGGCCGGCGCCUGCGCCCUGCUUGCUCUCUGCCUUCGGCCCCCCAGCGAAGACCCCGAAAACUACAGCCUCUCUCCGCCCCGACGGGCCCCUGGAACUCGGCCGCCUCCGCACGGGGCUGCCUCUUAACGCUGGGGCAACGGAGGAGCGACUGGUGUAAAGCAUCGCCGCUGAGGCUGGAGAAGAGAAACCAGGGAGACUUGGCUCAAUUCAAGUUGAAUUUUACCACUGAAAGAUCUAGUCUGACUCUAAGGGAGAAGAUAAGCCACCUGGCCAACCAUUUUUCUUCUCUGUCGUUUUGGUGUUAAAGAUCAGAUCUUCUGUUUACACUCCACAUUGCCCUUUAUGGAUGGAACUUCCUGCUGCGCCCCUGCUCCUGGAGAAGCUUGGUGCUUGGUGUGUUGGCCUUCUACUCGGCUUCGCCAGAGACAAUUCCGUCCGGUGUCACCUCUUUGGGGUAUUGUUCACACAGAUGCAGCUUUGGGUGGCACGAAAAGUUGCUUGAUCAAUGGAGUCUGUUGCCUUAGGCUUUUGAAUGACUUCUAAUGCUGUUGCCACAACUUGGUCUUUGUACUACAUUCAUUUUCCACAGCAGGCUCUGGAAUUAUUUUGUGCCCGAAAGGACUUGUCAAGACUGUGGCUGAACUGCAGCUGUGAAACUAUGCGGACAAACUGGCCUUCCCUUUGGAGCUCUUUCUCAGGAAGUUGGGAUAUGGCUAGUUGGUGCAAAUGUACUUGUUUACAAGAAAAGUGAAGAAUGGC